GUGAAUCAUCGAAUUUUUGAACGCAAAUUGCACUCUCCUCGGAGAGUAUGCCUGUUUGAGGGUCAGCCUAUUAAAAAUCGACAUCGUUGGUGUUACGCGGUGGGGUUUGUUGGGAAUUGGGUCAUCUUAAAUCCUUUUGUUUUAAGCGACUUAAAAUUUUCUUUUCGUUUUAUGAAAGUUUUUAAGAUCUAUUUCUGUACACGUUUAAGGUAUCGAUUUUCUUCAGACGUGA
rnacentral:misc_RNA from 1 species